rnacentral:rRNA from 1 species
UGGGGAAUAUUGGACAAUGGGGGGAACCCUGAUCCAGCCAUGCCGCGUGUGUGAAGAAGGCCUUAUGGUUGUAAAGCACUUUAAGCGAGGAGGAGGGUACUGGUAUUAAUACUACCAGCUACUGGACGUUACUCGCAGAAUAAGCACCGGCUAACUCUGUGCCAGCAGCCGCGGUAAUACAGAGGGUGCGAGCGUUAAUCGGAUUUACUGGGCGUAAAGCGUGCGUAGGCGGCUAAUUGAGUCGGAUGUGAAAUCCCCGAGCUUAACUUGGGAAUUGCAUUCGAUACUGGUUAGCUAGAGUGUGGGAGAGGAUGGUAGAAUUCCAGGUGUAGCGGUGAGAUGCGUGGAGAUCUGGAGGAAUACCGAUGGCGAAGGCAGCCAUCUGGCCUAACACUGACGCUGAGGUACGAAAGCAUGGGGGGCAAACAGG